rnacentral:rRNA from 1 species
CCAGACUCCUACGGGAGGCAGCAGUGGGGGAUAUUGCACAAUGGGGGAAACCCUGAUGCAGCGACGCCGCGUGGGUGAAGAAGUAUUUCGGUAUGUAAAGCCCUAUCAGCAGGGAAGAAAGAAGACGGUACCUGACUAAGAAGCCCCGGCUAACUACGUGCCAGCAGCCGCGGUAAUACGUAGGGGGCGAGCGUUAUCCGGAUUCACUGGGUGUAAAGGGAGCGUAGACGGCCGUGCAAGCCAGGAGUGAAAGCCCGGGGCCCAACCCCGGGACUGCUCUUGGAACUGUGCGGCUAGAGUGCGGGAGGGGCAGGCGGAAUUCCUGGUGUAGCGGUGAAAUGCGUAGAUAUCAGGAGGAACACCAGUGGCGAAGGCGACUUACUGGACUGUAACUGACGUUGAGGCACGAAAGUGUGGGGAGCAAACAGGAUUAGAUACCCCAGUA